rnacentral:rRNA from 1 species
AGUGAACGCUGGCGGUAGGCCUAACACAUGCAAGUCGAACGGCAGCACAGUAAGAGCUUGCUCUUACGGGUGGCGAGUGGCGGACGGGUGAGGAAUACAUCGGAAUCUACUUUUUCGUGGGGGCGAACGUAGGGAAACUUACGCUAAUACCGCAUACGACCUACGGGUGAAAGCAUCGGAUCUUCGGACCUUGCGCGAUUGAAUGAGCCGAUGUCGGAUUAGCUAGUUGGCGGGGUAAAGGCCCACCAAGGCGACGAUCCGUAGCUGGUCUGAGAGGAUGAUCAGUCACACUGGAACUGAGACACGGUCCAGACUCCUACGGGAGGCAGCAGUGGGGAAUAUUGGACAAUGGGCGAAAGCCUGAUCCAGCCAUACCGCGUGGGUGAAGAAGGCCUUCGGAUUGUAAAGCACUUUUGUUGGGAAAGAAAAGCAGUAGGUUAAUACCCUGCUGUUCUGACGGUACCAACAGAAUAAGCACCGGCUAACUUCGUG